GGCGGCGGGAAGGAGCCCGAGGGCGGGACGGGCACCGGGACGGGCGGCCGUGCUCCCCGGCCGCGGCCCCGCGGCCCGGGACACCGCUCCCUGCCUUGCCCCACCCGGCUCCUCGCAGGUGGAGCCCCCGGGUGGGCUGAGCAGGCAGCCCGGCCUCCGUUCCGCCGCCUCCGGCGCUCCCGUUGCCCUUGCAGGGUAAAGCGUCAGGAGAAGGCACGGGCAUUUCAAGCAGCUGGGUGCUGAGUCCCGGGCGAGCUCACACGCGGCGGUUUGCAGCUCUCGCUGUCCCUAGCUAGGCUUCCGUGGCAUCACCCCCUCCCGGAAAUCUCCAUAGCCAUCAAGAAUUGAUCCGUGAUGUUGCAGCACAAGAGCACAAGAGCUGCCCUAUGAACGUGGCUGCAGUUACCGGGCGAGCAGACACCCACAUCCUCGCUCUGCUAGUCCUCCUGCCAUCUGUCUUUUUGUUACUUUUUGUUACUAUUUUGUUACAAAAAUCCGACUCUACCGCUUUCCGUCAAAAUAGAACAGAAAGUUUGCCAAAAGAGGUAUCAGAGCCAGUGGACAGUCAAAAUAAAAAUGGAUUAUUCAGAGGAGAUAAGGUUCUGGAGAAAAAUUAAAUUAAGAUUUUGCUCUAUGCUCAUUGUAGAGGAACCUAAGAAUAUUCCCAUACUUAUACUUGAUUUUAUGAAAGAUUUAUCAGAGGAUCUGUUUCAAACUGAAGGUCUGUAGAAAAGGUAGUGAAACAAAUGGCUAAAACAAAAAGUGUUGAACAAUUGGAUUGCAUUAUAUUCACCCAAGAGUUUUAAGAGAAGUCAAGACUGAAAAAGCUGAGCUGCUUACUAAUGGUUUUUGUGUAACAUUGCAUUCAGAAGGGCUUUGGUAACAGAAACAGGGAAGAUAGUUAAUAUGCCAAUUAAAAAAAAAAUACCAGCAGCCUGAAAAAUUCUGUAGAGCUGCUGAGCAAUGAGCCUGUUCUCUGUACCAGCCAAGUUAAUAAAAACUUUAAAAAGUGAACUAGUGGAUGCAGGGAGAAAAUGAGGUACUGUGAAAGAUGGCAGAGAGGAGUUCUAAUGAGAACUCCUGGCCUCAGAGAUUGUUUGGAGUCCUGCGAGGAGUCAGCAAAGCAUGUGGACAAGAGACAUUGAGCUGGUAUUUCCUACUUGGGUUUCUUAAAAGUAUUCAACAAAAUCUGUGAGCAAAACCUUCUGAAGGAACUGUAGAAUAAGAGAUGCUUUCAUGUGGAUAGAUGACAUUGCAUUAAAGACAGGUCUCUGUAAGACAGAACAAAACUAUUUCUCCAUGGAUUGAGCCAACAUGCAAAGUUCCACGAGGAUCUGAAUUGGAGCUUGCGGACCGAGAGAAAAUGUAGUAAAACAUCACAAUACAAAAUCUUUUGCUGAUAAGGUUGUUCUUUGGAGCUGCAUCCGGGAGCCUUUCCAGGCAGAGGUAGGCUGGUGACCCAGUGAGGGGCUGAAAUGAAACCAACACCACCCAUUCUUCUCAUUUGGAAACAGCGGAUGUUCACAAGGGACCUGGAAUUAUAUCAACAGGAUAUCAUGGGAAAACAAAAGAAGGCUGGAACUAGCAUGUGGACAAUGUAGCUUUAUCAUUUCCAAUUAAGGAGCUCUUGUUCUGUGGAGUGGUGUCCUGUCCUCUGCCACUCCCUGGCAUCUUUAGUCUGCACAACAACAGAUUUUCAGCUCUCCUUUACUGAUUAGAUUUGAGCUCUGUUUUUAUACAAAUGUUUUGUAUCUUGGUCUGUUGGCUAUGGACAACCAGCUGCAACAUUAAAGGACUAAUUUUAAUUCUGA